AUUGAACGCUGGCGGCAGGCCUAACACAUGCAAGUCGAACGAGUGGCGCACGGGUGAGUUAUGUCUGGGAAAUUGCCUGCUGGAGGGGGAUACCUACUGGAAACGGUAGCAAAUACCGCAUUACAUCGGAUGUGCCCAGAUGGGAUUAGCUAGUAGGUGGGGGAAAGGGUCACCUAGGCGAGGAUCCCUAGCGGGGCUGAGAGGGGUACCGGCCACACUGGAACUUAGACCCGGUCCAGACUCCAACGGGAGGCAGCAGGGGGGAAUAUUGCACAAUGGGCGAAAGCCGGAGGCAUCAAUGCCGCGUGUAUGAAGAAGGCCGUCGGGUUGUAAAUUACUUUCAGCGGGCAGUCGUUACCUGCAGAAGAAGCACCGGCUAACUCCGUGCCAGCAGCCGCGGUAAUUC
rnacentral:rRNA from 1 species